GAAAUGCGAUAAGUAAUGUGAAUUGCAGAAUUCCGUGAAUCAUCGAAUCUUUGAACGCACAUUGCGCCCUCUGGCAUUCCGGGGGCAUGCCUGUCCGAGCGUCAUUACGCACCCUCAAGCCCGGCUUGUGUGAUGGGCCCCGGCAUCUCGUUCGCGAGACGGGCCCGAAAGGCAGCGGCGGCGUCGACCCGAUGAGCCCGAGCGUAUGGGGACUUCUGUCACACGUUCGCGGUGCGGACCGGCGCCUGCUUGACUUUUCUGAUUAUCCAGGUUGACCUCGGAUCAGGUAGGGAUACCCGCUGAACUUAAGC
rnacentral:misc_RNA from 1 species